rnacentral:rRNA from 1 species
AGACCUCCCACCCUUGUGUAUUA